UACAUGGGGUGCAAACGUUGCUCGGAAUUAUUGGGCGUAAAGCGCGCGUAGGCGGUUAUCUAAGUCGGAUGUGAAAGCCCCCGGCUUAACCGGGGAAUUGCGCCCUAAACUGGCGAGCUGGAGUGAGAUAGGGGUGUGUGGAACUUCCGGUGGAGCGGUGAAAUGUGUUGAUAUCGGAAGGAACGCCGGUGGCGAAAGCGACACACUGGGUCUCAACUGACGCUGAGGCACGAAAGCCAGGGGAGCGAACGGG
rnacentral:rRNA from 1 species